rnacentral:rRNA from 1 species
GAUGAACGCUGGCGGCGUGCCUAAUACAUGCAAGUCGAGCGAACGGACGAGAAGCUUGCUUCUCUGAUGUUAGCGGCGGACGGGUGAGUAACACGUGGAUAACCUACCUAUAAGACUGGGAUAACUUCGGGAAACCGGAGCUAAUACCGGAUAAUAUUUUGAACCGCAUGGUUCAAAAGUGAAAGACGGUCUUGCUGUCACUUAUAGAUGGAUCCGCGCUGCAUUAGCUAGUUGGUAAGGUAACGGCUUACCAAGGCAACGAUGCAUAGCCGACCUGAGAGGGUGAUCGGCCACACUGGAACUGAGACACGGUCCAGACUCCUACGGGAGGCAGCAGUAGGGAAUCUUCCGCAAUGGGCGAAAGCCUGACGGAGCAACGCCGCGUGAGUGAUGAAGGUCUUCGGAUCGUAAAACUCUGUUAUUAGGGAAGAACAUAUGUGUAAGUAACUGUGCACAUCUUGACGGUACCUAAUCAGAAAGCCACGGCUAACUACGUGCCAGCAGCCGCGGUAAUACGUAGGUGGCAAGCGUUAUCCGGAAUUAUUGGGCGAAGCGCGCGUAGCGGUUUUUUAGUCUGAUGUGAAAGCCCACGGCUCACCCGUGGAGGGUCAUUGGAAACUGGAAAACUUGAGUGCAGAAGAGGAAAGUGGAAUUCCAUGUGUAGCGGUGAAAUGCGCAGAGAUAUGGAGGAACACCAGUGGCGAAGGCGACUUUCUGGUCUGUAACUGACGCUGAUGUGCGAAAGCGUGGGGAUCAAACAGGAUUAGAUACCCUGGUAGUCCACGCCGUAAACGAUGAGUGCUAAGUGUUAGGGGGUUUCCGCCCCUUAGUGCUGCAGCUAACGCAUUAAGCACUCCGCCUGGGGAGUACGACCGCAAGGUUGAAACUCAAAGGAAUUGACGGGGACCCGCACAAGCGGUGGAGCAUGUGGUUUAAUUCGAAGCAACGCGAAGAACCUUACCAAAUCUUGACAUCCUUUGACAACUCUAGAGAUAGAGCCUUCCCCUUCGGGGGACAAAGUGACAGGUGGUGCAUGGUUGUCGUCAGCCCGUGUCGUGAGAUGUUGGGUUAAGUCCCGCAACGAGCGCAACCCUUAAGCUUAGUUGCCAUCAUUAAGUUGGGCACUCUAAGUUGACUGCCGGUGACAAACCGGAGGAAGGUGGGGAUGACGUCAAAUCAUCAUGCCCCUUAUGAUUUGGGCUACACACGUGCUACAAUGGACAAUACAAAGGGCAGCGAAACCGCGAGGUCAAGCAAAUCCCAUAAAGUUGUUCUCAGUUCGGAUUGUAGUCUGCAACUCGACUACAUGAAGCUGGAAUCGCUAGUAAUCGUAGAUCAGCAUGCUACGGUGAAUACGUUCCCGGGUCU